GAUGAAGAACGCAGCGAAAUGCGAUACGUAGUGUGAAUUGCAGAAUUCAGUGAAUCAUCGAAUCUUUGAACGCACAUUGCACCUCUCGGUAUUCCGGGAGGUAUGCCUGUUCGAGCGUCAUUUGUACCCUCAAGCUCUGCUUGGUGUUGGGUGUUUGUUCCGCCUCUGUGUGUGAACUCGCCUCAAAACAAUUGGAAGCCGGCGUACUUGUUUCGGAGCGCAGCACAUUUUGCGAUCCAGAUCAACGUACAGCGGCAUCCAAGAAGCCUUAUUUAACGCUCUUGACCUCGGAUCAGGUAGGGAUACCCGCUGAACUUAAGCAUAUCAAUAAGCGGAGGA
rnacentral:misc_RNA from 1 species